GCUCAGGAUGAACGCUGGCGGUAUGCUUAACACAUGCAAGUCGAACGAUGUUUUAGGACAUAGUGGCGGACGGGUGAGUAACGCGUAAGAAUCUACCUUCAGGUUUGGGACAACCAUUGGAAACGGUGGCUAAUACCGAAUGUGCCGAGAGGUGAAAGGCUUGCUGCCUGAAGAAGAGCUUGCGUCUGAUUAGCUAGUUGGUGGGGUAAGAGCCUACCAAGGCGACGAUCAGUAGCUGGUCUGAGAGGAUGAUCAGCCACACUGGGACUGAGACACGGCCCAGACUCCUACGGGAGGCAGCAGUGGGGAAUUUUCCGCAAUGGGCGAAAGCCUGACGGAGCAAUACCGCGUGAGGGAGGAAGGCUCUUGGGUUGUAAACCUCUUUUCUCAGGGAAGAAAAAAAUGACGGUACCUGAGGAAUAAGCAUCGGCUAACUCCGUGCCAGCAGCCGCGGUAAUACGGAGGAUGCAAGCGUUAUCCGGAAUGAUUGGGCGUAAAGGGUCCGCAGGUGGUAGUGUAAGUCUGCUGUUAAAGAGUCACGCUCAACGUGAUAAAAGCAGUGGAAACUACACAACUAGAGUACGGUAGGGGCAGAAGGAAUUCCUGGUGUAGCGGUGAAAUGCGUAGAUAUCAGGAAGAACACCGGUGGCGAAAGCGUUCUGCUAGACCUGUACUGACACUGAGGGACGAAAGCUAGGGGAGCGAAUGGGAUUAGAUACCCCAGUAGUCCUAGCCGUAAACGAUGGAUACUAGGUGUGGCUUGUAUCGACCCGAGCCGUACCGUAGCUAACGCGUUAAGUAUCCCGCCUGGGGAGUACGCACGCAAGUGUGAAACUC
rnacentral:rRNA from 1 species